GCGUGUAUAGCUCAGUCGGUAGAGUUCUAGCUUCCCAAGCUUGCGGUCGCGGGUUCGAAUCCCGCUACACGCUCCA
rnacentral:tRNA from 1 species